rnacentral:rRNA from 1 species
AUUGAACGCUGGCGGCAGGCCUAACACAUGCAAGUCGAACGGUAACAGGAAGAAGCUUGCUUCUUUGCUGACGAGUGGCGGACGGGUGAGUAAUGUCUGGGAAACUGCCUGAUGGAGGGGGAUAACUACUGGAAACGGUAGCUAAUACCGCAUAACGUCGCAAGACCAAAGAGGGGGACCUUCGUGCCUCUUGCCAUCGGAUUUGCCCAGAUGGGAUUAGCUAGUAGGUGGGGUAACGGCUCACCUAGGCGACGAUCCCUAGCUGGUCUGAGAGGAUGACCAGCCACACUGGAACUGAGACACGGUCCAGACUCCUACGGGAGGCAGCAGUGGGGAAUAUUGCACAAUGGGCGCAAGCCUGAUGCAGCCAUGCCGCGUGUAUGAAGAAGGCCUUCGGGUUGUAAAGUACUUUCAGCGGGGAGGAAGGGAGUAAAGUUAAUACCUUUGCUCAUUGACGUUACCCGCAGAAGAAGCACCGGCUAACUCCGUG